rnacentral:rRNA from 1 species
GACGAACGCUGGCGGCGUGCCUAAUACAUGCAAGUUGAGCGAUGAAGCUUGGUGCUUGCACCAUUUUGAAGAGCAGCGAACGGGUGAGUAACGCGUGGGGAAUCUGCCUUUGAGCGGGGGACAACAUGUGGAAACGAAUGCUAAUACCGCAUAACAACUUGAAACAUAGGUUUUAAUGUUGAAAGAUGCAAUUGCAUCACUCAAAGAUGAUCUCGCGUUGUAUUAGCUAGUUGGUGCGGUAAAGACUCACCAAGGGGAGGAUAUAUAGCCGACCUGAGAGGGUGAGCAGCCAGACUGGGAGGGUGACACGGCCCAAAGGGACUCGGGAAGCAGCCAGAGGGAAUCGUGGGGAAUCGGCGAAAGACAGAGCGAGAAACGCGGCGUGAGGGAAGAACGUCUUCGGGUGGUAAAAGUCGGUUGGUGGAGAAGAAAGCUGGUGAGAGUGGAAAGCUCAGCGAGUGACGGUAACUAGUAAGAAAGAGACGGCUAACUACGUG